GUCAGCCAAGCGCCAGCCAACUGGCUGUAGGAGGUAAUGGAAUUUCACUUUUAUGGACUGGAUCACAGAUAAACAAGAUGCUGGCCGACAGCUCUUAUAAAACACACAGGAACCCAGUCUACGUUUAAGGCCGAUAUCCCAGAAAGAUGUGAGGAGACGUAGAAGAAAUCUGGGUGAUACACUGAUCCACUGGAUUGAGCGUAGCCUGAAGCUUAAGCAAAUUCUGGAAUUUACAUUUC